rnacentral:lncRNA from 1 species
CAGCUUUGAUGCACCUGUGCUGAGUCACCUGUGCUGAGUCACCUGUGCUGAGUCACCUGUAACCAGGAACAGGGUUGGAGUUAAAGCCUCGUGGAGAACCCUGUGUUAGCGUGUUCUUCACAUGUUGGUGUGUUAAAGAGCAGAACCUUACACACUCCUCUACUGUAGCCCUCUGCUCUCUACAUCUCUCUCUCUGUCUCUCUCUCUCUCUCUCUGUCUCUUCCUGUCUCUCUCUCUGUCUCUCUGUCUCUUCCUGUCUCUCUCUCUGUCUCUCUGUCUCUUCCUGUCUCUCUCCCUCUCUGUCUCUCUCCCUCUCUGUCUCUCUCUCUGUCUCUCUCUCUCUCUGUCUCUUCCUGUCUCUCUCCCUCUCUGUCUCUCUCUCUCUCUCUGUCUCUUCCUGUCUCUGUCUCUCUCUUUCGCUCUCUCUCUAUCUCUCUUCCUCUCUCUCUCUGUCUGUCUCUCUCUCUCUCUCUCUCAGGCUUCAUAAUUACACCCAGUCAUGAUAACCCCUUUCCCUCUCUCUCAUCCCCCCCCCCCCCAUCAUUAAUACAGUAUUCCAUCUCUUCCUGGGAUUAUCUCACCUUUAAUAGUGUAAAGCUGCUUUGUGUUGCUGCUGAAUGGUUGAACGGGAGGGGAAAGUGAAAGCCUCUUUAGUUGAAAGGAAAGGUGGAGGGAGGUAAAGGGAGGGAGGGUAGUUAUUAGUGUCUACUGAGGGUUUAAGCCCUGGAUUGUCAACCCCCUGUCCUCUCCUACAGAACAAUAGAGACCUAUAGGGACAGAUAGAGGCCUCAGCUCACACUGAAACAUGUCUCAGAAGGUAAAUCAUCCUGCUCACACUGGAGCAGGCUGGUUGGACUCUGGCAGGGUUUGGCAAUGGGACUGAACACGUGAUUUAUCAGGGGCAGUGAAUAUGUAUAUGCACCCUUGUGUGUGUGUGUGUGUGUGUGUGUGUGUGUGUGUGUGUGUGUGUGUGUGUGUGUGUGUGUGUGUGUGUGUGUGUGUGUGUGUGUGUGUGUGUGUGUGUGUGUGAGAGAGAGUCUAGAGACAGAUAUUGAAGUAUGAGCCAUUGGGCUUUCAUGAAACAUGCAAGGACCUGAGCAGUGUGUCUGUGAUUGAUUCCUAAUGGGAAAGGCGGAUGACUGAGAGAUACACAGGUCUGUUUGUAUUGGAGCACCAGAGAGGAUCAGAUACAGGAAAAGGAAGAGAUACACAGGUCUGUUUGUGUUGGAGGACCAGAGAGGAUCAGAUACAGGAAAAGGAAGAGAUACACAGGUCUGUUUGUAUUGGAGGACCAGAGAGGAUCAGAUACAGGAAAAGGAAGAGAUACACAGGUCUGUUUGUAUUGGAGGACCAGAGAGGAUCAGAUACAGGAAAAGGAAGAGAUACACAGGUCUGUUUGUAUUGGAGGAUCAGAUACAGGAAAAGGAAGAGAUACGCAGGUCUGUUUGUGUUGGAGGAUCAGAGAGGAUCAGAUACAGGAAAAGGAAGAGAUACGCAGGUCUGUUUGUGUUGGAGGAUCAGAGAGGAUCAGAUACAGGAAAAGGAAGAGAUACGCAGAGUAUUUUUGUCUCUCUCUCUCGUCUGACUAAUUUACCCGGUGUCCUUUCAGCCUGUCACUCCCCCUGCGACGUCACAUUUAGUGGCACAUCAGAAAGCCGGGAGGAGAGAGAGGAGAGGAAGUAGCGAGGGAAAGGACAAAAUGGAGCACUUUUCACUAGCGAGCCCUUAAAGAUAUAAUUACCUGUCUUUGGAGUUGAGGAAGAGAAAAUGAUGAGCGCCAAAAUAGAUCAUGG